GGUUUUGGAGGGAUAUUUAGGCAUGGUCACUAUUAAAUGGGUUUUGGUCAUAGGAGAGAAGAAAGGUGAAUUUUAAAGAAGUAGAUAGGGAGAGGAGAGGACAGUUAAGAGUACCUAAGGAGAAAUUGGGAAAGUAUGAAACUAUUGAGAGGAUAAACAAUAGAAAUCCAAAGAGGGGCAAUGGGAAAGAUGACUGAUGAAAGUGAAAGGGUGGCAGUCGAAGGAGUGUUGGAAAAG
rnacentral:lncRNA from 1 species